CGUUCAGAUAAUAAUCUGCCUUCCUGUUCUUACUCCCAAAGUGGAUAACCUCACACUUAUUCACAUUAAACGUCAUCUGCCAAGUAUCCGCCCACUCACCCAGCCUAUCCAAGUCACCCUGAAUUCUCCUAACGUCCUCAUCACAUGUCACACUGCUACCCAGCUUAGUAUCAUCAACAAACUUGCUGAUGUUAUUCUCAAUGCCUUCAUCUAAAUCGUUGACAUAAAUCAUAAACAGCUGUGGUCCCAAUACCGAGCCCUGUGGCACCCCACUAGACACCACCUGCCAUUCCGAGAAACUCCCAUUCACCGCUACCCUUUGCUUUCUAUCUGCCAACCAGUUUUCUAUCCAUGUCAAUGUCUUCCCCCCAAUGCCAUGAGCUUUAACUUUACCCACCAAUCUCCUAUGUGGGACCUUAUCAAAUGCCCUCUGAAAAUCGAGGUACACUACACUACAUCCACUGGAUCUCCCCCUUAAGAAUGCAGAAGAACAGAGUGAUCUAGGAAUAAUGGUGCAUAGUUCCCUGAAGGUGGAAUCUCAUGUGGAUAGGGUGGUGAAGAAAGCUUUUGGUACGCUGCCCUUUAUAAAUCAAAAGCAUUGAGUAUAGGAGUUGGGAUGUAAUGUUAAAAUUGUACAAGGCAUUGGUAAGGCCAAAUUUGGAGUAUUGUGUACAGUUCUGGUCACCGAAUUAUAGGAAAGAUGUUAACAAAAUAGAGAGAGUACAGAGAAGAUUUACUAGAAUGUUACCUGGGUUUCAGCACCUAAGUUAUGGAGAAAGGUUGAACAAGUUAGGUCUUUAUUCUUAGGUUGAGGGGGGACUUGAUAGAGGUAUUUAAAAUUAUGAGGGGGAUAGAUAGAGUUGACGUGGAUAGGCUUUUUCCAUUGAGAGUAGGGGAGAUUCAAACAAGAGGACAUGAGUUGAGAGUUAGGGGGCAAAAGUUUAGGGGUAACAUGAGGGGGAACUUCUUUAUUCAGAGAGUGGUAGAUGUGUGGAACAAGCUUCCAGUAGAAGUGGUAGAGGCAGGUUCGAUUUCGUCAUUUAAAAAAAAUUGGAUAGGUAUAUGGACAGGAAAGGAAUGGAGGGUUAUGGUCUGAGUGCAGGUCGGUGGGACUAGGUGAGAGUAAGCAUUCGGCAUGGACUAGAAGGACUGUUUCCGUGCUGUAAUUGUUAUAUGGUUAUAAAACUACAUUUUCAAGAUAGUUUUCAGAGAAGAAUAUUUCAUUAACUACAUGAGGCCCUUGUUAGAUCACUAUUUUCAUAAAAUAAAACUGGAGAAUGUUGCAAACAAACACUCUGUGAACAAAAGGAAUCACUUCCAGCAACUUUAGCCGUGUUAAAUAUGUAUUUCAGUUCUGAUGUUGUUAUGGAACAUAGACGAGUACAGCACAGGACAGGCCCUUCAGCCCACAAUGUGCCAAAUCAAUUAAAUUAGCAUCAAGUGCCAAACCAAACUAAUCCUAUCUGCCUGCACAAUGUCCAUAUCCUUCCAUUUUCCUCACAUUCAUGUGCCUAUCUAAGCAUCUCUAAAGUCUCUAAUGUAUCUUCCUCUACCACCACCCCAGGAAGCACAUUCUAGGCAUCCACCACUCUCAGUGUAAAAAAACUUGCCCCUCACAUCUCACCUUAAAUGCAGGCCUCUGGUAUUAGACCCUUCAAUCCUGGGAAAAGAUACUGACUGUCUACUCUACGCCUCUCAUAAUCUUAUAACGUUUUAUCAGAUCUCUCCUCAGCCUCCGCUGCUCCAGGCAACACACGCCAAGUUUGUCCAGCCUUGCAUUAUAGCACAUGCCCUCUCAUCCAUGCAGCAUCCUGGUAAACCUGCACCUUCUCCAGAGCCUCAACAUCCUUCCUAUAAUGGGGCGAGCAGAACUGUAUGCAAUAUUACAGAUAUGGCCUGACUCAAGCUUUAUAAAGCUGCCACAUAACUUCCUGACUUUUGAAUUCUGUGCCUUGACUAAUAAAGGCAAGCAUGCCAUAUGCCUUCUUAGCCACUCUAUCAACCUUUGUAGCCACAUACAGCGAGCUCUGAACUUGGAACCCAAGAUCCCUCUGCUCAUUACCAUCCUGUUAAGGAUCUUACCCUUAACAGUGUACUACGCUCUCUUUGCAUUUGACCUACCAAGGUGCAACACUUCCCAUUUGUUCAGGUUAAACUCCAUCUGCCAUUCCUCUGCACACUCUGAACAGAAGGAAUCACUUCCAGCAACCCUAUCUGUAUUUAAAUAUGUAUUUCUGUUCUGAGGUUGUUCAAAUGAUGCUGAGUUUCAAAGUGUAAUGAUAGCAAACACAAUUGCAAACUCUGAACAAUGGUUCCCAGCAGUCCUCCAUCUCAAUAGCUACCUCUGUGUACAUAAAUCUCAACAUUCAUUUGAAGAAACUUCCUUAAUUUCCACAAUAACUGCAAAUUUUUAAAAACUGUCUACCGGGACAAAUGUCAAAUGCAACUUACUUACAGUGCAAGGUUAAGAGAACCUCAUUAACCCAAAAACAGGAUUUGAAUUGCAUCCAGAUGAUAGAGUUAUUGAAUAGGCUUAACUUAACAACAAUAUUAUCCACCACUCCUACUUGAAAGAAGGGAAAUUGUUCUAGGGCACAUAGUAUGUUAGCUGGUGAUUACAACUGAAGAAGUUAAGGUCCUCUAAAGACCCAGUCCGGUAGGGUGAAACAGGAGGAGGAUUAUUCUCCACUCAGUAGCAACUUUAAUAGGUCCAGGAGUGUAUCUAAUGACAUGGCCCUAGGAGUGGGACCUGGUGCGGUCUUCUGUUGCUCUAGCUGAUCUACUUCAGAGAUGCUCUUCUGCACACCACUGUUGUGUCAUGUGGUUAUUUGAGUUUUGGUUGCCUUCUUGUCAGCUUGAACCAGUCUGGCCAAUCUCCUCAGACACCUCUCAUUAACAAGGUGUUUUUGCCCACAGAACUGCCACUUACUGGAUUUUUUUUGUGUUUUUUUCCACCAUUUUCUGCAAACUCUAGAGAUAAUGGUGCAUGAAAAUCCCAGGACAUCAGCAGUUUCUGAGACACUCAAACCACCCCAUCUGGCACCAAUCACUUCACAGUCAAAGUCACCUAGAUCAUAUUUCUUCUCCAUUCUGAUGUUUGGUCUGAACUUCAUCUGAAACUCUUGACCAUGUCUGCUUGUUUUUAUGCAUUGAGUUGCUGCCACAUGAUUGACUGAUGACAUUUUUGCAUGAACAAGCUGGUGUCCCUAAUAAAAUGGCCACCAAGUGUAUAUAUCAUUGGGAUUCAUAUGAGAUAUUAAAAUGCAAAAGUGUUUUAAUCCCAACAAUGCAAUCUCUCACUUUUAAAACUCUAACCAAGAAUUGAGGACAGAAGGGAGCAAACUCACCCAAAAAGGAUUCAAGGAAAGCAUGGAAAAACUUUCAAAUCAGAGGUUUGUAUCAUAAGAUGAAGGAGAAUUUGGCUAUUUGGCCAAAUGAGUAUGCUCCACCAUUCUAUCAUGGUUCAUUUACUAUCCCUCGCAACCACAUUCUCCAGUCUUCUCCUUGUAACCUUUGACUCCCUGACUAAUGAAGAACCUAUCAACCUCUGCUUUAAAUGACUUAAUGACUUGGUCUCCCUGUGCCAAUUAAUUCCACAGAUUCACUAUUCUCUGGUUGAAGAAAUUUCUCCUUAUCUUUGUUCAAGUGGACAAUGUGGCUGUGUGUCCUCUGGUCCUAGACUCUCCCACUACAGGAGACAUCCUCUCCACAUCCACUCUAUUGAAAGAUUUUGCUUAAUGUCAUAUAAAUCACAUGAAGGCAAAAAAACAUGCACAUUCACCAGUAUUCAAUCAUCAGAGUAUUUUUUUUAAUCUUUCACACCCUUCUCAAAGCUGCAUUGCAGUCUGCUGCUGUUUGACACUAGCAAUGCUCAUUUGCCAUGGUCUAUAUGCAAAAUGAGACUUUUUUAUUUUUUGACCAUUUGCAGACAAUAAGACAUUUAAUACAUUUUUACUUUGCGUCUCACACCUGGUUAACUUAUCUAGCAUCUGUUACAGUUCACAUAAUUGAAAGUGGUAGCAUUCCUUAAAUCUUGUAACAUUUCUGACCAACCCAGUAUGCUUAUUAUUUUAACCUUUAAUCUGCAGAAUUGAAUAUGUAGAGAAAAAAGGUAUUAGGCAAGCUAGAUAUUAAUUGUGUAAUCCUGAGACAACCACAAAAAUGAAACAUGAAAAAGGUGUCAAAAAUCUUGGUGUUACAGAAAAAAUAUUCAUGAGAAAGAUUAUUGCAGAGUUAAGUACUUAGACUGUGAAGUAUCCUGUAAACCCUUGGUCACCCUACCCACUUUGCUGUUAGUCUGAACAACUAGGACAGUAGAGAUGCCAGGCAGGAUAGUUGAAAGCUCCUCUUGCAGGAUGCGGGAAGGCAGCGAGACCUCCAGUGUCCCUGAUGACUACAACUGUGAGAAGUGCAUCCAGCUGCAGCUUCUAACAAACUACGUAAUGGAGUUGGAGCUGAAACUGGACGAACUCCGGAUCAUUUGGGAGGCUGAAGGAAUGAUAGAUAGGACAUAUAGAGAGGUCAAGAAAGUUCAGUCACUCAGCAUUCAGCAUGAGGUAGUAAAUUGGAUUAGACAUUGGCUUUGUGGGAGAAGCCAGGGAAUGGUAGUAGAGAGUUGGCUCUCUGACUGGAGGCCUGUGACUAGUGGUGUGCCACAGGGAUCAGUACUGGAUCCUUUGUUAUUUGUCAUCUACGUCAAUGACCUGGAAGAUCAUAUGUUAACUGGAUCAGCAAAUUUGCGGAUGACAACAAGAUUAAGGGUGCAAUGGACAGCAAGGAAGGAUAUCAUUCAUGGCUUCAAGAGGGAUCUGGAUCAGUUGGAAAAUGGCAGAUGGACUUUGGUAGGACCAACUAGGGUAGGUUUUACACAGUGAACAGCAGGGGCACUGAGGGGUGUGGUAGAACAGAGAUCUGGGAAUACAGAAACAUAAUUCUUUUAAAGUGGUGUCACAGGUAGAUAGGGUCGUAAAGAAAGCAUCUGGCACAUUGGCCUCCAUGAAUCAAUGUAAUGAGUACAGAAGAAGGGAUGUUAUGUUUAUGUCGUAUAAGACGAGUUCAUGCCAACCAUUCAGCAUCUAUUCAGACUAUCUUUCUAUCUAUCUAUAGUCUGGCCCAAUAAACCACAUCACCCAGCCAUUCACCUAUUGAGUCUAGCUAAUCACGAGACAAUUUACAGAGACCAGUGACCAGCACGACUUUGGACUGAGAAGAAACCAGACACCCAGGCAAAACCCAUGUGUUCAAAGUGAGGAAUGCACAAACUCCUUACAGAUGACAUCGGAAUUGAACUGUGAACUCUGAUGCCCCAAGCUCAAAUAGCAUUGCGCUAAAUGCUACACUACCUUGGUACCCCAAGUUUAUAACAAAUGUUCAGCCCAUUAGAACAUGGGAGAAAGUUGAAGCACCUGGACAAAAGUUAUGGGGUCACAGGAAGAGUGCACAAGCUCAACAUAGAUAGAACCUAAGGUCAGGCCUGAACCUGUGAGACAGAGGCAAAGGAUCUUCUAGCAGAACUGUUGUACCAAAUAGUGCUUUUUAUUUUAAAUGCACUAUCUUGUCCCAAUCAACUAUUACCAUUUGUGUUGCCUCAUGAAACUUUUAAACAGCUCCAUGAAAUAAACCCAUAAUUCUGUGUCUUCUAAUUCUGUCCACAUAUUUUUGGUGGGGAUUAUUAUCUCUUUACUCAAGGCGCAGGUCCUAUCCCAGUAACUGGACACAAUAUUCCAAACACAUCACACCAUUCCUAUAAGGCACAGCCCAAACAUUCAAAGUCAAAGUCAAAUUUAUUAUUAAAGUAAAUAUAUGUUACUAUAUACUACCUUGAGAUUCAUUUUCUCAUUUAUAGGAAAGUAAAGAAAUACAAUAGAAUUUAUGAAAAACUAUAAACAAAAUAAAUGUUUAAAUGUGCAAAAGACAAAUUGUGCAAAUGAAAAAAAUUUGAGAACUUGAGUUGUGAAGAGUCCAUGAAGGUGUGUCUGUAAGUUGUAGAAUCAGUUCAGAGUUAUAGUGAGUGAAGUUAUUUACGUUGAUUCAGGAACCGGGUUAUAGGGGUAAUAAUUGUUUCUGAAUCUGGUGAUGUGGGAUCUAAGACUUCUGUAAUCUCAAAUCUAUUCUUGUAAAAUAAUUUGUUUGGAUUUACUAUUACAUUUCAACUUUUGUAUUCCAUAAACCCAAUAUUUUGUUUGAAAGAGAUGUGAGGGGAUACAGAGGGCCACCAACUAUGAUUCUCCAAAAGGAAAAUGUUGCCAAUGCUGGAAAUCUGAAAUAAAAAUGAAAAAAGUUGGAAACCCUUAACAAGUCACAUAGUGCUUGCAAAGGUUUGGCAGAUCCUUCAUUGUUUCACCUGCUCCCUCCUUUCCAAACUCAAGAAUAUAACUUUCUCCAUUCACAGAAUUUAUUGUUUGGUGUUGUUUACAAACAGAUUGAGUUUUUUAAAGUAAAGUUAGGUUUGUAAAACCUAAGAGAGAGGUUAUGGCUAUUUGGUAGGAAUUCCCUCUGUUGCUUCAUGCAGUUGGAGGCUCAGAGGAAAAGAACAAAUAACAUUAUUGUAAACAGAAGAUAUUCUGCAGAUACGGAAAUCCAGAGUAACACUUAGAAAAUGCUGGAGGCAGCAUCUAUGGAGAGGAAUAAAGAGUUGGUGUUUCAGGCUGAGAAAUUUCAUCAGGACAAUAAAUCUCAUAAUUUCUCCUAUCUGAAGUGCUUGUCUUCUAUUGUUAUCUCUUCUUAAUCACAACAAUACUUCUAACUAAUUUAUGGUAUUUUUGGUAAGAAUUUUUAAAAUUUAACUUUGAUUUGAUUAGCUGAGGCUUACUAUUGAAACAUGAAGAUGGCAAUAAGUUUCUCCAGUUAGGUGGCAACAAAGCGGAGGCUAAUCUUUGAGGGAGAGUAGUUUCAAAGCUGAAGUAAACAUGGGACAUAUCGAAAGGAUUAACGUUUUUCUCCAUCUUGAACUGGAGAUUAGCAUACUAUUUAUUUAAUGUAUAAUUAAUGAAGCUUGUUUUAUUUUGAUUACUUUAUGAUUAUGAAGGGAAUACAUUGAUGCAUAAAGAUUUCUUAGCAUGGCUGUUCUUACGCGCACAAGGAACAAUGAGGAAAUCCCCUCAUUUUCUGAGGUACAAGCAACAAAGGGAAGUCCUUCCAAACAGUCAUAACCUAAUCCUUUUAAUAAACUGAUCUUGAAGAUUUGGAAACAGGAGAUCAAAGCUGAGCAUCCAGGAAUUUGGCCAAUCUUCAGGAAGAACUUAAGUAACUUGUUGCCUCCUUCACAUUUAUGGACAUCAGGUUCUAUGGAUAUUAGUGGUUAGUGCAGUGGUACUACAGCUUGGGGGAUCAGAGUUCAGAGUUCACUUCUGACAUCAUUUGUGAGGAGUCUCUGUACGACCUCACUGUGGAAUGCAAGGGAUUUCUCUGAGUCCUCCCACCAUCCAAAGACAUACUGGGUAGGUUAAUUGGUCAUUGUGAACAGUCCCAUUAUUAUGUUAGGAUUAAGUCGGGAUUGAUGGGGGCUGCUGAGCAGUGCCUAUUCCGUGGUACAUCUCUAAAUAAAUAAAGCAAGUAAAUAAGUAAAUAAAUCUCCACCUAAAAUAUCUGAUUGCACACACAUAUCCCAGAGUAUAUACAUAAGGUUGCAGCUCAUAUACUCAGUGGUCUAGUAUAAACAGGUAUGAAAUAUUUUACUUGCACUAACAUUAGCAUCACAUAAUGCUAUGUGAUGAGUUGCAAAUCUACGGUCAGUAGUGGUGUUGAAGGAUCCCAUUUUCACUUAACCUAGCUUUUGUAGCCAGAUAGUGGGGUAAGUUAGAUCUACUAAGAUCAUCUCAUUGCAAAGUCUGCAAUAUAUUGGUGGGAACCAGACAAGUAAACAACAACCUCCUUUCCUCUCACAUGGACUCACCUAUCACUGCUAACUUGUGCUCAUCCCCCUACCAACUUCUUAUUCUGGUUUUCUCCCUCUUCCUUUCCAGUCCUGAUAAAGAGUAUCAGUCCCAAAACUUCAAAUGUUUAUUCCAGUCCCACAGAUGCCGCUUGACCUGCUGAGUUCAUCAAGUAUUUUAUGUGUGCAGAUUUCCAACAUCUGCAGGAUUUUUUGUGUAAACAAACCAACAAGCUGGGACAGGCAACAUUUUUAGAUGUGGAAGUUGAUCUAAUUUGAGUGACACAAGAGACCGUGGAAAUUCUGAAACUAAUAAUCUGAUCAAAUGCUACUCGAUCUGCUAGAUUCCUCUAGCACAGAGGUCGGCAACCUGCGGCUCCGGAGCCACAUGCGGCUCUUUGAUCUCUGUGAUGCGGCUCCCCGUGGUUUGUUAGCUUUUGAAAUGUAAUUCGAAAUUUGAAGAUUAUGGUGAUCUUGUACAAUCUGAAAACUUUGUGGAGACACCGUUUCCUGGCACAUCCGAACCGGCUCACAAUUAGCCACCGUUCCGGCUAAGGGAGAUAGCCUACGGGGGUUUGUGAGUACGUGUCUUUUGGAACAUCCGUGCCCACGGGGACGGGUUGAGGGAGGCUUUAAAGCAAGGCUGUUUAGCUCGAAUAAAGCUACCUUUGACUGCAGUCUUUAUUUUAGCGCUGCGUGUAGCGCUACACCGCUACAACGUGUUUUUUUAUCGCUAUUAAUAUACAUCACAACUGCCAAUGCCUGACACCCGCCAGUGCGCGCAUUCUUUUAAUUCUUCGAUCCAAGGUAGGCUAACUAUGGAGUAACCUUCAACCCAACGUCUUUUUCUCGGAGUUCAAAAUGUUUUUGUUGCAUGCAGAAAUGUAAUUUCGUUUUCUCUGCAGGAGUUCAUCAAUUUCAUAAAUGCAACACAUUAUAGUUUGUUUAUACAUAGCAUAAAGGCAAAAAAAACCCGUUGUAUGCAGUGUUAUUUCAUUUUGUGGCUCCCAGUGUUUUCUUUUCUGUGGGAAAUGGGUCCAUAUUGGCUCUUUCAGUGGUAAACGUUGCCGACCCCUGCUCUAGCAGAUGCAAGCUAGUCCACUUUCAACUGAGCACUCUUAAUAAUUUUCCAAAGGGGCAGGCCUCCUUGACUUAAAGGCUUUCUCAGUGAUGUGCUAAGUAAAAUCUGCAUGAGACAAUUAGGAAAACUUGAAUCUUUUUUAUCUCAGGCACCAAAUUGUUGAACUUUAGCAGGCUACACACUUAUUCUUACAUUGGAAGCAGGAAAUUCUAACAGAUUACAUUAAAUCAGAUAAACUUCACAAUCCAACUACCUAUACUGAGAGACAACAGUGAGAAAUACAGGAUAUGUUUAUUAAGAUGAUUAUUACAAUGAAACACCUAGUAAACAUCACUUAUUUUAUAUCUUUAUUUUCUUUCAAAUGUGGUUCUACUACCAUUGGAGCUUGUGACCUACUGUUCAAUGCCUGAGAUUUACACUCUGAUGGUAUGUUUUCGGGUCAUUGAGUGAUCUGGUUCCAUGAGGCUUCGAGCAAAGCAUGCUACCUUGAGGCCAAGAAGCGAAGAGACAGAGUGCGAACCCAUAAUCGACUCCAUUUCUUGCCGUUUAAAGCACCGAGGAAGACUGAAAUCAUCAAGGAGUGAAUGGAAGGCGAACGGGUGCUCAGUGCUGCUCUACCAGCCUCUUGCUUGCAGCUGCAAGAGGAAGGUGUCUGCAUGUGAUGGUCUCCCUCUUCCUCUCGGUUGCUGCUCCCAAGGAAGGUUUCUGCAUUCCGAUGAUCUCUCUUUCCCUCGGUGCUUUCAGAGGAUGGUGCUGGAGCAAGGUAAAUCGAUGAGGGCAGGGCAUUUCUACAACCCAUACCUCCAAUCUCAUCUCACACCUGACUCCAAAUAGUUUUUGUGGAAGGCAUUACCCCAGAUUGUGUUUGUCUAUUAUUGUGACUUAGACGAAGAUCACACCACAUUUUAUGAGCAACUAAUGAAGACAAUUAGAACUGUUGGGAGCCUGUGAUUUGCAGUUCGGAGAUGGUUUGUGUGUUUCAGUGCUCUGCAGUCUCUGAGGGAAUUCCAAGAGGUAGAGGCAGCUUGUGGGAACCUUGUGGUGAGAAGGCUGCAAGCUGAUGUUUGACUCCAUUUCACCGAUUAAAGCGACGAGAGAGAUUAAAGCAUCGGCUGCCUGCCUUUUUAAUCGCUGAAGGAUCACUCUGCUGCCGGAGAGGGGGAGCCUACCAUUUUAUCGCUGGUGAGAUUGCUCUGCUAUGGAGAGGGAGAAUGUUGCCCAGCUUUUCUGGACUUGGACUGUGGGCUUUUUUUCCAGUCUUAUAGUUUUUUAAUUGUGUUUUUCACUUGAUCUUUCACGUUUCUUUUCGUGUGCAGGGGAGGGGAAUUUGGGGUCCAUGUGCCUGUUCUGUUUUGUUCAUUUUUUAUGCAGG